rnacentral:tRNA from 1 species
UGGUGUAGCACAGGGGUAGUGCAGCUGAUUCGUAAUCAGCAGGUCGGGGGUUCAAAUCCCCCCACC